AUGAAUCAUAUAUUUGAUGCAAAGGAAGUAAAAUAAUAGGAGUGACAUUCUCUGCAAUUGGAUAUACAUUUGAUAUAUCUUUUGCAAAGGAUUUUAAACAAUUUGCUAUUGACUACAGAAACUUAAUAGUAUUCAAAACUUUCCAUUUCCACUUAUAAAGCACUAUCAUUUUAUCAUUGACAUGUGCCCUUUCAGGUGCAAAGUACCAAUAAUUUCUCUAUUUGAAUUUGAAAGAUUAUCGAGGAGGGAAAAGGACAUAGGAAGAUUAUUUGUAAGCAAUCUGGUCACUUUCAUAGACCCAGUCUCUUCUUAA
rnacentral:lncRNA from 1 species